CCAUCAUUUAAAGAAAGCGUAAUAGCUCACUGGUCGAGUCGGCCUGCGCGGAAGAUGUAACGGGGCUAAACCAUGCACCGAAGCUGCGGCAGCGACACUGUGUGUUGUUGGGUAGGGGAGCGUUCUGUAAGCCUGUGAAGGUGUGCUGUGAGGCAUGCUGGAGGUAUCAGAAGUGCGAAUGCUGACAUAAGUAACGAUAAAGCGGGUGAAAAGCCCGCUCGCCGGAAGACCAAGGGUUCCUGUCCAACGUUAAUCGGGGCAGGGUGAGUCGACCCCUAAGGCGAGGCCGAAAGGCGUAGUCGAUGGGAAACAGGUUAAUAUUCCUGUACUUGGUGUUACUGCGAAGGGGGGACGGAGAAGGCUAUGUUGGCCGGGCGACGGUUGUCCCGGUUUAAGCGUGUAGGCUGGUUUUCCAGGCAAAUCCGGAAAAUCAAGGCUGAGGCGUGAUGACGAGGCACUACGGUGCUGAAGCAACAAAUGCCCUGCUUCCAGGAAAAGCCUCUAAGCAUCAGGUAACAUCAAAUCGUACCCCAAACCGACACAGGUGGUCAGGUAGAGAAUACCAAGGCGCUUGAGAGAACUCGGGUGAAGGAACUAGGCAAAAUGGUGCCGUAACUUCGGGAGAAGGCACGCUGAUAUGUAGGUGAAGUCCCUCGCGGAUGGAGCUGAAAUCAGUCGAAGAUACCAGCUGGCUGCAACUGUUUAUUAAAAACACAGCACUGUGCAAACACGAAAGUGGACGUAUACGGUGUGACGCCUGCCCGGUGCCGGAAGGUUAAUUGAUGGGGUCAGCGCAAGCGAAGCUCUUGAUCGAAGCCCCGGUAAACGGCGGCCGUAACUAUAACGGUCCUAAGGUAGCGAAAUUCCUUGUCGGGUAAGUUCCGACCUGCACGAAUGGCGUAAUGAUGGCCAGGCUGUCUCCACCCGAGACUCAGUGAAAUUGAACUCGCUGUGAAGAUGCAGUGUACCCGCGGCAAGACGGAAAGACCCCGUGAACCUUUACUAUAGCUUGACACUGAACAUUGAGCCUUGAUGUGUAGGAUAGGUGGGAGGCUUUGAAGUGUGGACGCCAGUCUGCAUGGAGCCGACCUUGAAAUACCACCCUUUAAUGUUUGAUGUUCUAACGUGGACCCGUGAUCCGGGUUGCGGACAGUGUCUGGUGGGUAGUUUGACUGGGGCGGUCUCCUCCUAAAGAGUAACGGAGGAGCACGAAGGUUGGCUAAUCCUGGUCGGACAUCAGGAGGUUAGUGCAAUGGCAUAAGCCAGCUUGACUGCGAGCGUGACGGCGCGAGCAGGUGCGAAAGCAGGUCAUAGUGAUCCGGUGGUUCUGAAUGGAAGGGCCAUCGCUCAACGGAUAAAAGGUACUCCGGGGAUAACAGGCUGAUACCGCCCAAGAGUUCAUAUCGACGGCGGUGUUUGGCACCUCGAUGUCGGCUCAUCACAUCCUGGGGCUGAAGUAGGUCCCAAGGGUAUGGCUGUUCGCCAUUUAAAGUGGUACGCGAGCUGGGUUUAGAACGUCGUGAGACAGUUCGGUCCCUAUCUGCCGUGGGCGCUGGAGAACUGAGGGGGGCUGCUCCUAGUACGAGAGGACCGGAGUGGACGCAUCACUGGUGUUCGGGUUGUCAUGCCAAUGGCACUGCCCGGUAGCUAAAUGCGGAAGAGAUAAGUGCUGAAAGCAUCUAAGCACGAAACUUGCCCCGAGAUGAGUUCUCCCUGACCCUUUAAGGGUCCUGAAGGAACGUUGAAGACGACGACGUUGAUAGGCCGGGUGUGUAAGCGCAGCGAUGCGUUGAGCUAACCGGUACUAAUGAACCGUGAGGCUUAACCUUACAACGCCGAAGGUGUUU
rnacentral:rRNA from 1 species